rnacentral:rRNA from 1 species
AACAUCACUCCUUGUAAAAUAUAAGGAGCCGGACCUGCCCAGUGAUUAAUAUUAGUAAUAUUGAUUUAACGGCCGCGGUACUUUAACCGUGCAAAGGUAGCAUAAUCACUUGCUCUAUAAUUGAGGGCUUGUAUGAAUGGUUUAACAAGAACAAUACUGUCUCUUAAAAAUUUAUUAAAAUUUGGUUUUUAGGUGAAGAAACCUAAAUUAUAUUGAAAGACAAGAAGACCCUAUCGAGCUUAAAAAAUAUAUUAGUAAUGAUUUAUAAUAUAAGAUUAAUAUUAAUAGAAGAAUUUAGUUGGGGCGACUAAGGAACAAAUAAAGCUUCCUUUAACAUAUAAAACUUAUAUGUAUUGAUCCAAAAUAUUUGAUUAAAAAAAUUAGUUACCGUAGGGAUAACAGCAUAAUCUUUUUAGAGAGAACACAUCGAAAAAAAGGUUUGUGACCUCGAUGUUGGACUAGGAUAUCCAGAUAGAUUGCAGAAGUCUUAAAAGGUUAGUCUGUUCGACUAAUAAAAUCCUACGUGAU